UUCUUCUUCUCUUAUCUCAUUAUUCCUCUGGUGAUUCAGAGAGAAAUAUCUGCUGGGAAAUUUCUAAAGAAAAUUUUUGAAACAAAUGAAUCGAGGAUGGUUGUGAUAGAUUAGUUUAUGGAGUUCGAUUAUAGUUUGAAGAAUAUUAAAAGAAAGAUGAACCAGGGAGAAGCAGAACUAGGGUAUAUAGAUUUCAUUUAGGGUCUGAAGGUUUAUAAGAUGAAAUUUAGAGUUAUGGCUGGAUGAAGAGACGAGGGUUGAGGUUUAAUUGAAGUUCUAAACCUGUCCUGGUGAUGAAUCGACAUAAAAGAAGGUGCAAGUGAAAUAGAAUGAAGAUAAGGAGAUGAUGCUGAGAGUGUUGCAGGGAAGGCGGAGAUGUCGUUAAAGUAGUAUGAAUUGAAGGAGUUAUGACAGAGAUUGUAGUUUUGGUUUGUAUUGGGUUACAUGGGAUACCAGUGAACGGUGGAGUUCUGGGAAGUGAUUCUGGUGAUGUUGUGUUAAUGAGAAUUUGGUUUAAGCCUGUAGAGUUGCAAUCAAGGAUGAUACAGCUACAGAUCAAAUUGCAGGUGUGAGUUGUGGAUGUGCAUAGGUGGUGUUAUUGACUUUGCAGAUGUAGCAAAUGAGACGAAGAGAUUAAGGCUUGAAGAUGCGGUGUUCCCAAUAUUGGAUGUUUAGAUGAUUGAGUUAGGGGAUGUAUGAAUUUGCAAGUGAACUGAACUUGGUGGUUGAAUUGCAAUAUGCAAGGAAGAUGCAUGAGAUGUGUUUGAAAGGAAAACGUGAUUUCAGAGAGUGAAAGAAUGAAGCUGAAAUGGGUGUUGCAGGUGAUAAUAUAAUUGGUAGUUAAGGGAAGUUGGAAAUGCAUCAUUUUGUCAUAGGAUGUGUGUUGCAUCAUGAGAGUGCAUUAGGAGUAGUGACCUAAGCAAUGGCUUUGGCCAGUGUGUAUUCAGCUUAGCUGACUCGUUUUAGUAUUUCUGACUCAGUCAAUCUGACUGAGUCAAAUGUAAAUUUGUCUCGCCUGAAUCAGUCUUGUGGACUGAGUUAAUUCAUCGAGUUUCCUUAU